ACUGUUUAAUUAAAACAAAGCAUUGCAAUGGUUCCCGUGAAUGCUCACGCAAUGUGAUUUUUGCCCAGUGCUCUGAAUGUUAAAGUGAAGAAAUUCAACCAAGCGCAGGUAAACGACUGGAGUAACUAUGACUCUCUUAAGGUAGCCAAAUGCCUCAUCAUCUAAUUAGUGAUGCACAUAACUGGAUUAA
rnacentral:rRNA from 1 species